CGGCGAUAUGGAUUUCAAGUAUUUGUCCAACGUAAACGGCAACGGAUUCUGUAUAUAUAGAAAAAUAUAUACAAUUUGUAUACAUCUACAUCUAUUUCUAUUGUACAUAAUGCAUGCAGAGGAAGAGUUGCCGUUUGCGUUGGACAAAAUAUCUGAGACCCGAAUAUCAAACG
rnacentral:pre_miRNA from 1 species